UUUUGCUGAGGAAGACUGGCCCUGAGCUAACAUCCGUGCCCAUCCUCCUCUACUUUAUCUGUGGGACGCCUACCACAGCACGGCUUGACAAGCAGUGUGUAGGUCUGCACCCAGGAUCUGAACCGGUGAACCCCAGGCCGCUGAAGCAGAACGAGUAUGCAAGACAUUGCUCUCCAAGCUGAGUGAAAUUCCAGCUGUGGCCCCUGGAAGCCAUGUGGAGAUGUGGGUGCAUUCCUUCAGCUACAGGCACAGAAGCCAGUUCACUUGGCCACUGAAGGUCCUGUUUCCGUGUGAUGUGGAGCCUGAUGAAUAUGUGGCCUCCCCUCUAGGAAUACGCCUGGGCUGCCUUUGCACACACUUACUUCAGCUGGCCUUGAACUCAAAGAUAAUCGCUUCUGUAACAAGUGAAUCACAGCCUCUCCUCCCUGUGCAAACAAGAGAACUAGCUUUAACUGCCUGAUCAAAUGUUUUUGAAAGAGUAAACCCAGGAAGGAGAUUUGAGAAACAAGCAGCCAAGACUAGAGUUUUCACUUUGCAGAGGACAUCGAGUGGAGGUCUGCGUUCUGGGAGGUUUCAACUGAUGGAAAGACAGUGGCCC
rnacentral:lncRNA from 1 species